CAAAAAAAGAAAAUGUAAUUGCAGAGGCUGAUGCAAUGUGAAGACGCCACGGCAAUUCAAACUUCAAACGGCGAGAGCCGAGAGGGAGAGGAGAGAGCGAGAGGCGAGCGACGGAGCGAGAGGGCGAGAGUGGCAGGUGGCAGUUAGAACCGGUUAGAACUUUGAACUUCGACGCGUCGCGGCAAGUUGGUUUUGUCUUCAGUAACAGUCGCAAGGAUGGUGAUGGUGUAUCUCCUGUGCAGUAUUUACGUGUGUUUCAGUGCGCUUUGUAAGACAAUGCGAUGACAAUGGCUCCUGUGCAACACAAUGUCGAUUUCCCGGAAGAGUUUUGACGCCAAGAAUACGUAAACGGCGUAGAGGCAAGAACGCACUGUGAAACGCCAAUCGGACUGCACGUCGCGAAUGUUUGCAGAAACUUCGGAGGAACUUGAAGAGAAACAGGAUAAGAAGAUUCCGAACGUACGGUGAAGAGGAAUGGGGUGUAUGUCGCGACCUGCAUGGAAAACAGGAGUGUUGUGUCAUCUUCUCUAAGAAAAUACAAGAUGUGAGGUGGCCAACGAACGAAAGCUCCCUGUGGUCCGUGAGUGCAUCGCACAGUCAGGCAUAUGCUUUGUCUAGACACAGUGAGUGAUCAGACUUAUACUACGUGGUAUGUAAAUGUAGAGAUGUAUUGAUUAUUUCUUUCUGCUCAGUGUAUGCUUUUAGCAGAAUAAACGGUAAUUACUUGA